rnacentral:rRNA from 1 species
GUGGGUUUGCGGGAGCUUACCAUGCAGUCGAGCGGGAGGGGUAGCAAUACCCCAAGAGCGGCGCACGGGUGCGUAACGCGUAUGCAACCUGCCUUAUCCAGGGGGAUAGCCCAUGGAAACGUGGAUUAAUAUCCCAUAGGACAUUUGAAUCGCAUGGUUUGGAUGUUAAAGCUGAGGUGGUAUAAGAUGGGCAUGCGUCUGAUUAGGUAGUUGGUAGGGUAACGGCCUACCAAGCCGACGAUCAGUAGGGGUUCUGAGAGGAUUACCCCCCACACUGGUACUGAGACACGGACCAGACUCCUACGGGAGGCAGCAGUGAGGAAUAUUGGUCAAUGGGCGAGAGCCUGAACCAGCCAUCCCGCGUGCAGGAUGACGGCCCUAUGGGUUGUAAACUGCUUUUCUGCUCCAAGAAACCUGAUUACGUGUAAUCAGUUGACGGUAGAGCAGGAAUAAGCAUCGGCUAACUCCGUGCCAGCAGCCGCGGUAAUACGGAGGAUGCAAGCGUUAUCCGGAUUCAUUGGGUUUAAAGGGUGCGCAGGUUGGGGAGUAAGUCAGUGGUGAAAUACUGCCGCUUAACGGUAGAACUGCCAUUGAUACUGCUUUUCUUGAGUAUGGUUGAGGUAGGUGGAAUGUGUUGUGUAGCGGUGAAAUGCAUAGAUAUGACACAGAACGCCGAUUGCGAAGGCAACUUACUAAGCCAUUACUGACGCUGAGGCACGAAAGCGUGGGUAGCGAACAGGAUUAGAUACCCUGGUAGUCCACGCUGUAAACGAUGUUCACUCGCUGUUUGCGAUACACAGUAAGCGGCUGAGCGAAAGCAUUAAGUGAACCACCUGGGGAGUACGAUCGCAAGGUUGAAACUCAAAGGAAUUGACGGGGGCCCGCACAAGCGGAGGAACAUGUGGUUUAAUUCGAUGAUACGCGAGGAACCUUACCUGGGCUUAAAUGUAGAUUGCAUAGGGUAGAAAUAUCCUUUCCCUUCGGGGCUAUUUACAAGUGCUGCAUGGUUGUCGUCAGCUCGUGCCGUGAGUGUCGGGUUAAGUCCCAUACGAGCGCAACCCUAUCGUAGUGCCAGCGGUAGAGCGGGGACUCUAGCGAGACUGCCACCGUAGGUGAGAGGAAGGUGGGGAUGACGUCAAAUCAGCACCGGGCCCUUUAUGUC